rnacentral:rRNA from 1 species
AGUGAACGCUGGCGGUAGGCCUAACACAUGCAAGUCGAACGGCAGCACAGUAAGAGCUUGCUCUUACGGGUGGCGAGUGGCGGACGGGUGAGGAAUACAUCGGAAUCUACUUUUUCGUGGGGGAUAACGUAGGGAAACUUACGCUAAUACCGCAUACGACCUACGGGUGAAAGCAGGGGAUCUUCGGACCUUGCGCGAUUGAAUGAGCCGAUGUCGGAUUAGCUAGUUGGCGGGGUAAAGGCCCACCAAGGCGACGAUCCGUAGCUGGUCUGAGAGGAGGAUCAGCCACACUGGAACUGAGCCACGGUCCAGACUCCUACGGGAGGCAGCAGUGGGGAAUAGUGGACAAUGGGCGCAAGCCUGAUCCAGCCAUACCGCGUGGGUGAAGAAGGCCUUCGGGUUGUAAAGCCCUUUUGUUGGGAAAGAAAAGCAGCAGGUUAAUACCCCGCUGUUCUGACGGUACCCAAAGAAUAAGCACCGGCUAACUUCGUG